UACAGAGGUCCCAAGCGUUGUUCGGAUUCACUGGGCGUAAAGGGUGCGUAGGCGGUCGGGUAAGUCUGAUGUGAAAUCGUCACCAGCUUAACUGUGAAACUGCAUUGGAUACUAUUCGGCUUGAGAGUUGGAGGGGGGACUGGAAUUCUUGGUGUAGCAGUGAAAUGCGUAGAUAUCAAGAGGAACACCAGUGGCGAAGGCGAGUCCCUGGACAACUUCUGACGCUGAGGCACGAAAGCUAGGGGAGCAAACAGG
rnacentral:rRNA from 1 species